UGGAGAGAGAAAGGGAGAAGAGGGAGACUCACAAGAGCAUCAAUGGAGAUAUACUUUAAGACCUGGAGCUCAGGAAGCAGAUUGGUAUGGAGCAGGUGGAGAAACAGGGAAACACACGUCAGUAAUGACAAGUGUAUCAUAAUAAAUUAGAGUGGAGUGAAGAAUCUAGGGAAUCGCACAUCUCAGCAAUGAUAAGACUCUGAUGGUCAGGUAUCACCUAUUGACGUCAGAUGUCCAAGAAGAAGGGGGUGGUGGUGG
ensembl:processed_transcript